rnacentral:lncRNA from 1 species
AGCUUUAAUCAAUUCAAAAAAAUCUUAAAGGAAUUACAAAGAAAUAAUAAAAAAUCUUAAUGAAAUAUUAGAAUGGUUACAAAUAUAUCUAAAAUAAAUCUCAAUUCAAUCUUAAUUUAAUCCUAGUUAAAAUCCUAUUAGACUUUAAUCAAACUUUAGGCCAAAAACUAACUAAAUCUUAAACUCUAAACAAAUCCUAAAUAAAUCCUAAUCCUUAACUCAAUUCCUAACCAAACUCUAAUCUUAAAUAAAAUAUAACCAAACUUUAAACUCUAAAUCAAAGCCUAACCAAAUCCUAAAUUCUAAAUCAAAUCUUAAUUAAAUCCUAAAUUUAAAUCAAAUCCUAACUAAAUCCUAAAUCCUAAAUCAAAUCCUAACCAAAUCCUAAACCUUAAACCAAAUCCUAAUGAAUCCCAAGUAAUUCCUAAAAUAGAUUUAAACCUCAAUAAUUAAUGAAUGAACUAUUGAUUAUAAUUCAAAAUUUAUACACUUCUUAAUAAUUAAGUUGACAACGAGUAAAAAAAAUUAAAAAAAAUCAAAAUUAUCAAAUAGACAAUAACUUCAAAAAUAUUGUCAUAAUAUAUGAAGUCUUGCUUAAAAAUACUCCGAGCACCUAGCUGUGGAGGGUAGAAUGGAAAUUGCAACAACAAAAUCCUAAUUCUAAUGGAAUACUAACAAUGUUAAACAAGCUUUAAUCAAAUUCAAAGAAACCUCAAGGAAAUUCCAAAGAAAUAAUAAGAAAUCUUAAAAAAAUAUUAGAAUGAUUACAAACAUAUCUCAAAUACAUUUCAAUUCAAUCUUAAUUUAAUCCUAUUUGAAAUCUUACUUCAUUCAAACUUUAGGCCAAAAACUAACUAAAUCUUAAAUUCUAAAUAAACUCAAAUAAAAUCCUAAAUCCUAAAUCAAAUCCUGAUCAAACCUUAAUCAAAUCUUAAAUCCUAGAUCAAAUCCUAAAUCCUAAAUCAAAUCCUAAAUCCUAAAUCAAACUCUAACCAAAUCCUAAUCCUAAAUCAAAACUUAACCACCCUUAAAUCAAAUCAUAAAUCCUAAAUCAAAUCCUAAUCAAAC